ensembl:ncRNA asRNA:CR44866 antisense RNA:CR44866
UAUCGUGGUUCUGCGGUCUUUUUCACGGCUAGCUCAACCCCACGGCAGUCAAGGCCAAUUCGAUGCGAUCCCCGCGAUUUUUCAGCGACUCCAAAGUAACACAAUGAUCGCAAGUGGCACUGUGACGAGAUCGAAAUCGAGAGAGCGAUGAAAGAGCAAAAAAAAAGGCCAUAAUCAUCUGGCCACACGGCGCAAAGAGAGAGUCGGAGUUUAGUGGCAGCGGCGUUGCCACUACGGCCGAUCGCGUUGCGGGAUUUUUAUUGGCGCGUUAUUCAAAUUUUGAAAAAUAACUUCUAUGUUAGCCUGACUUUUACUGCUCUGCAU